AAUAUAAGUGUUGUUUUAACAACCUAUUUAUAAAUUUGCUUUCCGAGUAGCCCCUGAUUAGGGGCUUUUUUUUUAGG
rnacentral:ncRNA from 1 species